rnacentral:snRNA from 1 species
UGCUCGCUUUGGCAGCACAUAUACUAAAAUAGAAA